rnacentral:rRNA from 1 species
CCUACGGGGUGCAGCAGUAGGGAAUCUUUCACAAUGGGCGAAAGCCUGAUGGAGCAACGCCGCGUGCAGGAUGAAGGCCUUCGGGUUGUAAACUGCUUUUAUAAGCGAGAAAUAUGAUGGUAACUUAUGAAUAAGGAUCGGCUAACUACGUGCCAGCAGCCGCGGUCAUACGUAGGGUGCGAGCAUUAUCCGGAGUGACUGGGUGUAAAGAGUUGCGUUGGGGGCAUAAGAAGUAGCUGGGGAAAACUGGGGGCUCAACCAUUCAGACUAUUGGCGAAACUGUUAGGUUGGAGAACGUUAGGGGUAACUGGAAUGUCUAGUGUAGGGGUGAAAUCCGUAGAUAUUAGAAGGAACACCAAUAGCGAAGGCAGGUUGCUGGGACGGUUCUGACACUAAGGCACGAAGGCGUAGGGAGCAAACAGGAUUAGAUACCCCUGUAGUC